CCCAUGUGAAAUACAGGGCUGCAAAAUCCCUUUUUGUUAUUUAAGGCUAUAGCCUGUUAUUGUCACAAGGGGGUGCUGUGAUGCAGUCUUGUGUUCUGACGACCUUGCGUCUAGUGCGCAGGAAGCAUUACUUGUCUCUUCCUGUGAGAUCUUCCCUCUGAUGGCGGUCAAGUGCGUGUCGGAGCGCAUGGAAAAUAAUAUUUUGGUAUGCAAUGCUGCAACCCGGUUAAUGAGACCAGAUUGUUUUAUGUAUAAAUGCUAAUAAGCUACUGUUUUAUUAGGCCCCGAACUCUGACCACAAAGGAAUAACAUCUGUCAAGUUAUUUGUGUUGGAAAAUCCCGAUUGGUUUUUUUGAACUACCAGAAAGGAUUCUGGAGAACCACUGACGGCGAGAACAGCCCAAAUGAGAUCCUGGAUGAUCGUGAAAUGGUGUGGCCAGCCAUGCGAUCGGAUUGUGGAUCUUGCCUGAGAAACUGAUUCAAGCAACCCUGGAUUUCAGAUAAGCCCUAUGCACUACUUUUCCUACCCGGAUAAUAGGGUCUGCACACUGACAAUUCCCCUACAGUACACCUGUUUGGGUUUCAACGACUUUAAAGGACAAUUCAGACUGGACAA